AUGGUUAAUCUAGAGGAUUGUGGUGAAAGGCUUAUAUUUCCAUCUCUAGAAAGACUUCCGUUUCUUACAACAAUCAAGUUGAGCAACCUGCGGAAAAUUAGAGAAGUAUUAGUUCCAUCAUUGCAGGAGCUGAUUUUAGUUGAAAUGCCAGAGUUGGAGAGAUGUACCUGCACUUCCCUAGGGGAUUUGAACUCUAGUUUAAGGGUACUGGAGAUUCGGAGCUGCCCUGCACUCAAGGUGUUCGAUCUGUUUGAGAAAGGUCAUAACUUUGCUGAGCAGCCGUCAUUGUUUGAAGGUCAUAACUACGGAACUGGGUGGAAGCUAUGGUUGCCUGGUCUUAGAGUACUCAUAGUAAUCAAUUGUCCUCAUUUACUGAUGCCGUGUCUCCUACCACAUUCAACUAAUGUUUCUAGACUGCACAUCGACGGAGUUCCAACACUUCUGAAGAUGGAGGGAUCGUCCACAGAAAAACUAGAAAUUUCUCCAAAUAGUCGAUCUGGUGAGAAUUCCGGUGAGACAUUGAGAUUGGAUGGAAAAAUAUUGGCAUUCCAUAAUUGGGGGGACCUAAAAUCCUUGAGCAUAUCAUUUUGUGGAAACCUAACAUCUAUUUCAUUUCGAAGUCUUAAUCAGCUCUUCUCUUUAAGGGAUCUCCGUAUAGUAGGGUGCAGAAAACUUUUCUCUUCAGAUGUUCGGCCAGAGCUUACUGAUGAAUAUGCGAUAGGUGCAUAUCGGUUUGGCCUCCGGUGUCUCAGAAGUCUCUAUAUUAGUUCAUCAGGAAUAACAGGGAAGUGGUUAUCUUUGAUGUUGCAACAUGCGCAAAUCCUGAAGGAACUGUGCUUAAAUGACUGCCCUCAGUUCACACAAUUACAGAUUGAAGAGGAAGAGAACAGUCAACCAAAUUUUAUCUCAGCCCCAGAGACUUCAUCAAGCUGGGGUCCAGAUGGACUUUUGUGCAUUCCAUUAAAUCUCACCUCCUCUCUAGAAAAGAUAGCUAUUUCUCGAAGCCCUUAUUUGAGAUUUUACGGGAAGAAGGAAGACUUUGCUGGAUUUACCUCCCUGCAGGAGCUAAUAAUUCGAUGCUGUCCUGGGCUGCUCUCAUCCUUGGUGCAUAAUGACGGAAAUGAUGUCCAGGCAAACAGAACAUGGCUUCUUCCGCAGCCACUUGGACAAGUUGUGAUCAGUCAUUAUGAUCACAAAACACUAUCACUCUGCUUCAUGGGUAAUCUCACCUGUCUCAAAAAAUUGGAAGUAUUGGAAAGCCCAGGCUUGGAAUCUCUACAGCUGCAUUCCUGCACGUCGCUUGAAGAUUUGAGAAUUCGUGAAUGCAAACAGCUUGCCACAGUAAAGGGAAUGCAAUCCCUUGUGAACCUCAUGAAUUUGGAAGUACAAGAAAACCCUAGUUUGGUAUCUCUACAGUUGCAUUCCUGCAGGUCGCUGGAAGAUCUGAGAAUUGAAAAAUGUGAAUCACUCAUCGCACUAGAGGGCUUGCAAUCCCUUGUGAACCUCAGGAAUUUGGCCCUACUCAACUCCCCUGGCUUGCCUCCAUAUUUGGAACGUUUGUCGGGGCACUAUGAGCUGGGCCCUCGACUCGAAAGUCUUCACAUUGAUGACUUGUCUCUCCUUACCAUGUCACUGUGCAAUGGCCUCACUUGCCUCCAAUGCCUACGACUUGAGAAGCUGGAACAGGGAGGGACAAGACUAACAGAUGAGCAAGAGAGAGCGCUACUGCUCCUCAGGUCCCUGCAAAACCUUGAAUUUGAUGAUUGUUUCAACCUCGUACAUCUUCCUGUGAGACUGCACAGCCUUCCUUCCCUCAAGACAUUGAGUAUCGUUUGUUGUGAUGACAUCCCAAGGCUGCCUAAGAAGGGCCUCCCAUCUUCGCUGGAAAGGCUAGUGAUAUACGAUUGCAGUACUGAGCUAAGAGAACAGUGUGAAUCGCUAACAAGAGGCAAGCUAAGGGUUGUGAUGAAUGACUGA
rnacentral:rRNA from 1 species